GGAUUGUCUGUGCAUUGUCACGACCAAGCAGAGCCAUGGCAGAUGCCCAUCCCACAAAUGCUCAGUCGAAACACCUGCCUGGAUACCCAUUCAGCACUCUACCGUUUUGUGAAGGACCAAGAAUCAUCAAAGGUGGGGAGAUGAACUACAUUCCUGUGUUGGUUUGGUGGAGGAUGGAAAAAAGCCCUUCCUAUGGU